CACCUUCACUGGCUCUGGUGUCCUCCUGCAACAGAGCUCCUCUGAACCUCAAGGAUCCCAAGGAUCCCUGUGACCGGCUAUCUAGAGAUUAAACUGGCCACUUCUGUUCCUCUACAGUCAUUCACUGUCAUUAUCAGAAAAUGCAGGCACAUGUAAACUCUCCUGUGUGAGCAGAAAAAAAAUCCAAGAGAAGAAGCUGCUUGCUGUGGAAAAUUCCAUCUCUGCCUCUCUCUCUAAAACAUAGAUCUAAAGAUUGUUAUUCCUGCUCUCUGGUAUUUGAGUAGCUGGAUAGUUUAGGCUGAAUAUUGUCUUUUAGCUAAAACAUACAAUUUCUAGGUG